rnacentral:lncRNA from 13 species
GGAAUGAUGACCACGAAGGCCUCUUUUUGGAUAAGAGUAUUGUUUUUUUUUUCCUAUAAGCUCCUUCCUACAUUUUAUGGUUUCUCUCUAAUUGCAGUUAAGGGUCCCCAAAGACAGUUCUUCCUUGAAUUUCCAGAAGAUGAUGUCCACCCCUUCUCUCCUGUCCAGUCACAGCUCUGAAAGCCUUUGAGAGGUUUCCAUACAGGAGCAGAUGCAGAGCAGAGAGGAAAGAAAUAUUAUUUUGCAGCAACUGGUGCUCCAUCAAAACAGAGGCCUUGCGAAAUGACGGCAGACAUCAGUAAUCGCCACAGCGCUGGCCUUAUUUAUAGUCCACUUCCAAUCUGUUGGCAAAUCCUGUUGGCUAAGAUCUUCAGAAACAUCUGGAAUCUGACCACAUCUUACCACUCCAGUUGCUGUCCUUCUGGCCCAGUUCACUGUCAGCUCUUACAUGGAUUAUUGCAAGAGUCUUUCUUGAUGUGAACUUGCUCACCUUCAGCCUAUUGUUCAUAUAGUUGCCACAGUGACCUUGUAAAAGGUAAGUCAAAUCGUGUCAUUCUUCAGCUUACAAUUAUUUCACUUAUAGCAAAAGGCAACAUUCUUCUAAUCAUAUGCAAGUUUCUGCAGAUCUGGCCUCAUUACGCUAAACUUCCACCACAAAGCCUUGGCCUUGCUAUUCCCUCUGUGCAAAACACACUUCCCUACACAUCUACAGUGCUUGAUCCUUUACCUCUUUGAGGUCUUUUCUAGCUGCACUAUCUAAAUUGCCCACCAUCCCUACACAUACAACUAACCCCUUCUCUACUUUAUUUUUUUUCUACAACAUUUAUAUAGUCCAGCAUAGGCUAUGUUUAACUUCGCUGUCUUUUUAAUUGUUUCCUUUCUGCUAGGAUGUGAGCAACAAGAAGGCAGGGAUUUUUGCUAUGUUGUUUGUUAUUGAAUCCCCAGCAAAGGGAAUGGCACAUAAAAGAAAUGCCUGGCACAUAGGAGAAACAAGCAAACAAAAAAAUGUUUAAAUAAUGAAUGAAUAGAAAGGACUGAGCCAUAAGAAUUCAGCACAAACUGAAAGGGGCAUGGAGCUCAACACAGCCCCUGAUGUAUAGGCAACCUAAGCAGUUUCAGUCAGGUGCUGUGGAGUGUGUGCACCAGUUCACAGCCCAGCAUGUUCAUUCCUCAGAGAAUCCCCCCAGUAUCCCAGUGUGGUGUUCCUAUGCCCCAGGAGAAAAUGUAGUAACUCUCAGAAACUUGAUAGAUCAUCAACCAUGAAAGUACUUGUAAUCAGCUGUGUAAAUCCAGAACCUAAGUCCUGAUUCCAUUAGCUUUGUGAUGGCACACAAUUGCAAAAUAAACAUAUGAAAUAAAAAGGAAAAGAAGAAUUU